rnacentral:rRNA from 1 species
AACGAACGCUGGCGGCGUGCCUCAUACAUGCAAGUCGAACGCGAGGCUCCCCGCAAGGGGAGUAGUAGAGUGGCAAACGGGUGCGUAACACGUAGGUAAUCUGCCUUCGAGUUGGGGAGUAAACCCUCGAAGGGGGUCGUAAUACCGAAUAACAUUUCGGGUCCGGGCAUCGGCUUGAAAUUAAAGAUGGCCUCUGCUUGCAAGCUAUCACUCGAAGAUGAGCCUGCGUCCGAUUAGUUAGUUGGCGGGAUAAAAGACCCACCAAGACUCCGAUCGGUAGCCGGCCUGAGAGGGUGUCCGGCCACACUGGGACUGAGAUACGGCCCAGACUCCUACGGGAGGCAGCAGUAGGGAAUAUUGCGCAAUGGCCGCAA